GCGAGAUGCCCCGUAAAUCUACUGUAUGAUCAAUCAAAACACGUUUUGUCCAAAGUCCAAACUUAAUGGUGUGAUAUUGUGGCAUAUUUACCCUGGAGCUAGCAUAUAUAUGGAGCUGACUUUGUUCCUGGAGGAGCAGACACAGAGGAGGAAUCUGCUACCUCAAAGCAGUUGAUCGACGCCGGGAGGGUGGGUAUGUGAUGUCGGAGGCUGCCGGGAGGGUGGUGACGAGCUACCGAAG